rnacentral:rRNA from 1 species
AUUGAACGCUGGCGGCAGGCCUAACACAUGCAAGUCGAACGAGUGGCGGACGGGUGAGUAAUGUCUGGGAAACUGCCUGAUGGAGGGGGAUAACUACUGGAAACGGUAGCUAAUACCGCAUACUAUCAGAUGUGCCCAUAUGGGAUUAGAUGGUUGGUGGGGUAACGGCUCACCAGGGCGACGCUCCCUAGCUGGGCUGAGAGGAUGACCAGCCACAGUGGGACUGCGACACGGUCCAGACUCCUCCGGGAGGAAGCAGUGGGGAAUAGUGCACGAUGGGCGCAAGCCUGAUGCAGCCAUGCCGCGUGUAUGAAGAAGGCCUUCGGGUUGUAAAGUACUUUCAGCGGUGAGGCGUUACCCGCAGAGGAAGCGCCGGCUAACUCCGUGCCAGCAGCCGCGGUAAUUC